UACGGAGGGUGCGAGCGUUGUCCGGAAUCACUGGGCGUAAAGGGCGCGUAGGUGGCCUGUGGAAGUCUGCGGUGAAAGCCCGGCGCUCAACGCCGGGUCGGCCGUGGAUACUCUCGGGCUCGAGCUUACUAGAGGCAGAUGGAAUUCCGGGUGUAGCGGUGGAAUGCGUAGAGAUCCGGAAGAACACCAGUGGCGAAGGCGGGUCUCUGGGCAGUAACUGACGCUGAGGAGCGAAAGCGUGGGGAGCGAACAGG
rnacentral:rRNA from 1 species